UACGUAGGGGGCAAGCGUUGUCCGGAAUCAUUGGGCGUAAAGAGCGUGUAGGCGGUUCGGUAAGUCCGCUGUAAAAGUCCAGGGCUCAACCCUGGAAAGCCGGUGGAUACUGUCGGGCUAGAGUCCGGAAGAGGCGAGUGGAAUUCCUGGUGUAGCGGUGGCAUGCGCAGAUAUCAGGAGGAACACCGAUGGCGAAGGCAGCUCGCUGGGACGGUACUGACGCUGAGGCGCGAAAGCGUGGGGAGCGAACAGG
rnacentral:rRNA from 1 species